rnacentral:rRNA from 1 species
UACGUAGGUGGCGAGCGUUGUCCGGAUUUACUGGGUGUAAAGGGCGCGUAGGCGGGAUCGCAAGUCAGGUGUGAAAUCUAUGGGCUUAACCCAUAAACUGCACUUGAAACUGCGAUUCUUGAGUGUCGGAGAGGUAGACGGAAUUCCUAGUGUAGCGGUGAAAUGCGUAGAUAUUAGGAGGAACACCAGUGGCGAAGGCGGUCUACUGGACGAUAACUGACGCUGAGGCGCGAAAGCGUGGGGAGCAAAC